AGCAGCCGCGGUAAUUCCAGCUCCAAUAGCGUAUAUUAAAGUUGUUGCAGUUAAAAAGCUCGUAGUUGAACUUCGGGGUUUACUCAUUGGUCAGGCUUAAUUGUCUGUACUGGUGAGAUGAAUCUCUACCUUCUGAGGAACUUUUAUGCCAUUUAUUUGGUGUGAUGGGAAAUCAGGACUGUUACUUUGAAAAAUUAGAGUGUUUAAAGCAGGCUAACGUCUGAAUACAUUAGCAUGGAAUAAUGAAAUAGGACGGAUUGAUUCUAUUUCGUUGGUUUCUAGAGUCACCGUAAUGAUUAAUAGGGAUAGUUGGGGGCAUUAGUAUUCAAUUGUCAGAGGUGAAAUUCUUGGAUUUAUUGAAGACUAACUACUGCGAAAGCAUUUGCCAAGGAUGUUUUCAUUAAUCAAGAACGAAAGUUAGGGGAUCGAAGACGAUCAGAUACCGUCGUAGUCUUAACCAUAAACUAUGCCGACUAGGGAUCGGACGCAGUUAAUUUUAUAAUGACGUGUUCGGCUACCG
rnacentral:rRNA from 1 species